GUGGGGAAUAUUGGACAAUGGGCGAAAGCCUGAUCCAGCCAUGCCGCGUGUGUGAAGAAGGUCUUCGGAUUGUAAAGCACUUUAAGUUGGGAGGAAGGGCAGUAAGUUAAUACCUUGCUGUUUUGACGUUACCGACAGAAUAAGCACCGGCUAACUUCGUGCCAGCAGCCGCGGUAAUACGAAGGGUGCAAGCGUUAAUCGGAAUUACUGGGCGUAAAGCGCGCGUAGGUGGUUUUGUAAGUUGGAGGUGAAAUCCCCGGGCUCAACCUGGGAACUGCCUCCAAAACUGGAUGACUAGAGUACGGUAGAGGGUAGUGGAAUUUCCUGUGUAGCGGUGAAAUGCGUAGAUAUAGGAAGGAACACCAGUGGCGAAGGCGACUACCUGGACUGAUACUGACACUGAGGUGCGAAAGCGUGGGGAGCAAACAGGAUUAGAAACCCCUGUAGUCC
rnacentral:rRNA from 1 species